rnacentral:rRNA from 1 species
UACGGAGGGUGCAAGCGUUAUCCGGAUUUACUGGGUUUAAAGUGUGCGUAGGUGGGUAAGUAAGUCAGUGGUGAAAUCUUCGAGCUUAACUCGGAAACUGCCAUUGAUACUAUUUAUCUUGAAUACUUUGGAGGUAAGCGGAAUAUGUCAUGUAGCGGUGAAAUGCUUAGAUAUGACAUAGAACACCAAUUGCGAAGGCAGCUUACUACACAGUUAUUGACACUGAGGCACGAAAGCGUGGGGAUCAAACAGG